GAAGCUGUAGUUUAGUGGCAGAACACCCUCCUUGAGAGGGGGGGCGUGGGUUCAAAUCCCACCAGCUUCA
rnacentral:tRNA from 1 species